UACAGAGGUCUCAAGCGUUGUUCGGAUUCAUUGGGCGUAAAGGGUGCGUAGGUGGCGCCGUAAGUGGGGUGUGAAAUUUCGGAGCUUAACUCCGAAACUGCAUUCCAUACUGCGGUGCUUGAGGACUGGAGAGGAGACUGGAAUUUACGGUGUAGCAGUGAAAUGCGUAGAGAUCGUAAGGAGGACCAGUGGCGAAGGCGGGUCUCUGGACAGUUCCUGACACUGAGGCACGAAGGCCAGGGGAGCAAACGGG
rnacentral:rRNA from 1 species